GUUUCUGAAACAGAAGGAAAUAACCUAUGUGAGGUUCUAAAGCUAAGAGAGAAUUGUUCUUUCAAACAGCUGAGUUAAUUGGGGCUUGGUCUUAGACUUCUAUGGAGAUAGAGAUGUUAGGAAAGGAGAGGUUGCAGAAGUAAAAUAAAGAUCAGGGAAGGACUUAGCCAUGGUUAGAAGAUUGACUUUUAACGUUAUUCCAUGUUAAAGUAUAAUAAUCCAGCCUUAUUCAUGAGAAUCAUCUUUAUAAUAGUUAUGAAAUUUAUUAUUUGCAAUUUUAAGCAGUUCCACAAUCUGUGGUAAUUCAUAGCCAUCUAUGUGGUAUAGUCAUUCACCCAUCUCUACAUAAUUAUGAUCUAUUUUUCAUUCUUUUGUUAUUUUUGGGGUUCACUCUUCUGAAAAAAACUCAGCUAAUGCUUUCUUUCACAUUCACUAAAGAGCAUAUUAGUGAUCACCACUGUUAGAUCGUUAACUAACCUGGGCUGCUUCUUGCCUGGCCAACCACCCU
rnacentral:lncRNA from 1 species